rnacentral:rRNA from 1 species
CAUGCAAGUCGAGCGGAUCUUGUUAGUAGCUUGCUACUAGCUUGGUUAGCGGCGGACGGGUGAGUAACACGUAGGCAACCUGCCCUUAAGAUCGGGAUAACAUUCGGAAACGAAUGCUAAGACCGGAUAAACAAUUUGGCUGCAUGGCCGAAUUGGGAAACGCGGAGUAAUCUGCGGCUUAGGGAUGGGCCUGCGGCGCAUUAGCUAGUUGGUGGGGUAAAGGCUCACCAAGGCGACGAUGCGUAGCCGACCUGAGAGGGUGAACGGCCACACUGGGACUGAGACACGGCCCAGACUCCUACGGGAGGCAGCAGUAGGGAAUCUUCCACAAUGGGCGAAAGCCUGAUGGAGCAAUGCCGCGUGAGUGAGGAAGGCUUUCGGGUCGUAAAGCUCUGUUGCCAGGGAAGAAUAAGGAUGAGAGUAACUGCUCAUUCGAUGACGGUACCUGAGAAGAAAGCCCCGGCUAACUACGUGCCAGCAGCCGCGGUAAUACGUAGGGGGCAAGCGUUGUCCGGAAUUAUUGGGCGUAAAGCGCGCGCAGGCGGUUCUUUAAGUCUGGUGUCUAAGUGCGGGGCUCAACCCCGUGAUGCACUGGAAACUGGAGAACUUGAGUGCAGAAGAGGAGAGCGGAAUUCCACGUGUAGCAGUGAAAUGCGUAGAUAUGCGGAGGAACACCGAUGGCGANGCAAUCCCC